CUUAACUUUACAACCGAGGAUGGGAAUGACGGAACCAUGUAUCCUGAAACCAUCCCGCCAAUACUCCUGCGCGCGUCAUGUUUAACAGAGCAUGAGGUGUGAAGUACAGGUAGAUUCGACAGAACGAAGGCUAGAGCCAUUUUGAGAAAAAAAAAAAAGGUACGCCAACGGAUAUGUCGCGCGGCUGAGAA
rnacentral:ncRNA from 1 species